rnacentral:lncRNA from 1 species
GAAAAAGGACCAAAAUAUGACAUAAGAAUAUUUUAGAAGUUUUCUCUUGAGCUUUUCAGUACAUCUUGAUAGAGGGGAAGAUAUGAUGAUAAAGUAUUUGGCACUUGGGUCAACAAUCUAGUUUAUUCAGUAGUUCAGCAAAUAUUUUAAAUAUAUCUACUUAGCACGUAGUCCAAGGGGAUGUAGUCUGGAGCAAGACAGACAUGGUCUUUGGCCUCCUGGGUUUACAAUUUAUAAUUGCUGGAUUACAGAGUAUAGAAUAGUAACAAAAUGAUAGAAAACUUAAAUGUAAAAGAUAAAAGGGCAACGGGAGUCGUGUGAGUUUGAGUGUGAGGACAGAUAGCAUGGCCAUGCUAUCUGCUCUGCCUCCUUAAAAGGUCACUGGAAGUUGGUUACUUCCAUUCUGAUAGAGGCCUCACCCUUCCCUGGCAACCCAGUCCACUAACAGCUGUAUUUUGCUGAAGCAUAAAACUUUAAGCCAGUGUUCUCUUCAGAGCCCAGACAGUCCUCUGCAGUUUGGAGAGUUCUUCCUGGACUGCACUAACAAAGGCCAACCUGUUUCGGGAAACUCUCGACACUUUCCUCUGUGUCAGCACAGUCACCUGGAAUGCGUUCCAGCCGGAGCUGUGACUAUUUAAUCUCACUUUGUCUCUUAGCCCUGUCAUCUUCCACACCCCUGAACUGUCAGUCUCUGUAGGCCUCUGUCCUUUCUGGCGAGGCUAUUUCAGCAAGGCUUUAGGCCUACAACCCCUUCUCAAGCAUUCUCCAGAUUAACAGGGAUGCUCAUCCUGGCUAAGGAUUCCACAGGUUCAAAACCAAGCUCAUGAGAGUUCGAUGUAUUAAUUCUCAUAAUUAGUCAUAUGUAAGUUUACUGCUGCUGGGAGUGAAGCUGAGUCCAAGAUGCGAGGUGCCAGAUGCAGAGGCAAAAUGAUUAUAUAUAGAUGGGGGAGAAGACCUUGAGAAAAUCUGCUCCGUGGGACCGGACACUCAGGAAACAAUUUUUCCUUCUCAUGGAAAGCAGAUCAGAUGCCUAGAGAUGAUUGUGACCUGCAGUGCUUAUGUGAUGCAGAUGUGGUCCUUUGUGCCGCUUCCCACAGAUGGGAACAUGAGAAAAUGUGGAAGUUCUACUCAUGUCCUGCUAAAAGCUCUUACAUUUCAUAAUCAUGAUUAUUUGCUUUAUAUAUGUUUCCUUCAGUAGCCCACGUAAGGUAGGACAAAAUUACAAUUAGGUACACAGUUGGAAUCAUAACUUCUUGGCUGAGUGAAACAGCUAAAGGGAUGGGGACACUCUCCUCUCCCUACUCCUACUUCCACCUCUGUCCUGCCUGCAUAAGACCGUCUGGUCACACAUACAGAUGCUUAAUUGUCAAGGUCAAGCACUGUCCCUCUAUCACUCACCCAAGAAACUCACUGCUGAGGGAGUGUCGCUGCCUCUCAAAUCCAGGGACAUGUAGAUGGUGGUAGAAUCUCACCUUUCAGGUGGAAGUGUAGGAAAUGUGCAGGCAAAACUACUAGGCCCUGCAUUUGGUAGGAAAUAAAAAGAGUCAAGUCUUUGGACAAAUUUGAUCACUUAUAUAUAAUUUCUGUUUCACUGGCAGCAAAACAACUGACACAAAAUUGUGGCCAGAGAAAGAAGAUAUUCCAGGACCGGGCACGAUGGCUCAUGCCUGUAAUCCCAACACUUUGGGAGGCCGAGGUGGGCGCAUCACCUGAGGUCAGGAGUUGGAGACCAGCCUGCCAACAUGGUGAAACCCCGCCUCUACUAAAAUACAAAAGUUAACAGGGUGUGGUAGCCUGCACCUGUAGUCCCAGCUACUCGGGAGGUUGAGGCAGGAGAAUUGCUCGAACCCGGGAGGUGGAGGCUGCCAUGAGCCGAGAUCGUGCCACUGCACUCCAGCCUGGGUGGUAGAGCGAGAGUCCAUCUCAAAAAAAAAAAAAAAAAAAAA